rnacentral:rRNA from 1 species
GGGUUCCUACGGGAGGCAGCAGUGGGGAAGAUUGCACAAUGGGGGGAACCCUGAUGCAGCGACGCCGCGUGAGCGAUGAAGUAUUUCGGUAUGUAAAGCUCUAUCAGCAGGGAAGAAAAUGACGGUACCUGACUAAGAAGCCCCGGCUAACUACGUGCCAGCAGCCGCGGUAAUACGUAGGGGGCAAGCGUUAUCCGGAUUUACUGGGUGUAAAGGGAGCGUAGACGGCUGUGCAAGUCUGAAGUGAAAGCCCGUGGCGCAACCGCGGAACUGCUUUGGAAACUGUAUAGCUUGAGUACUGGAGG